GCGGCCUCCUCCUCCCUCUUCACUGUCUGUGCCCGCGGCCCUCAGGCCUUUGGUCCGGGAAAAGGAGCCUCUAAACACAACCAAGUGAGCAGGUGCCAGGGGAGCUGGGGUGACUCAGCGCUCAGCCCGACUCGGCUGUCUGUCCUCGGCACCCGUCCCUGUCCCCUGUGCCCUGUCAGCCCCUGGUUGGAGGCUCCUCCAGGCCGCUGGGGCAGGUGCUGGGAGAAGUCCUGUCCCCAGUGCCGAGGACCCCGCUCCCAGGAAGGAGCCCGCGCCUGAUGCCAGACGGGCCUCUGCAGCAGCAGGCGGGCACCUGACGGGGACGGUCCCUGUGUGUCCAGCUGUCCCGCUCCCCUCUGCAGCCAGGAGGACGCGGCCUCAGUGGCCUCCCCUCCCCUCCCCGCCACUGCCUGGUCUGGAAACCCCGGCCCAGCAGCACCUGGGUCCAGCAGCCUCAGGGGGCGCGGGAGGGGGUCCAAGGUCAUGGUCACUGCAGCCCUGGCCAGUGAGUGGAGGGGACGACAAGGAGGUUCCCGAGUGUGGAAAGGGGGCCUCCUCCUGGCACCUGUGGCAAGAGGGACACGGCCCCCAGCUCCUGGACAUUCCCUGUGCACGGGGCGCCUCUGGGGUCCCCCAGGAAGCCGAUUUCCAGUUUUGUUUUGUGAAGGGGCACCAGGGAUUGGACCCGGGGGCCCUCGGCCUCAGAGCCCCGUCCCAGCCCUAUUCCGAGUUUUAUUCAGAGACAGGGUCUCACUGAGCUGCUCAGGGCCUGGCUAAGUUGCUGAGGCUGGCCUUGAGCUCUCGAUCCUCCUGCCUCAGCCUCCCGAGCUGCAGUGGUUACAGGGGCGCGCCACGGUGCCCCGCUCUUUGUUUUAAUAUCUACAUAUUUAGCUGCAGAUGGACCAGGGCCUUCAUUUCGUGUAUUUUUUAUGUGGUGCUGGGGAUUGAGCCCAGGGCCUGGCCCAUGCUAGGCACUUGCUCCACCACUAAACCCAAUCCCAAUUUUCACAUCAACUCCGCAGCGGAAAGAUUCCUGCGCCGCUUCACUGAGGGAACUUAGAGGAAGGCACAGCGUUCUGGGGAGCAGCCGGGAGGCGUCCUUCAAACUAAGAGCCCGAGGGCCCAGGCAGGACAGGGGAGGCCCAGGGUGGCCCUGGGGACCCCACCACGGCAGCCCCCUGUCAGGCUGCCAGGACGGUGAGGUGGAGCCUGGCUUGGGGGGCCCCCUCCCACCUGCCGAGAAAACAGAGCCCAAGGAGGGUGAGUCAUGGCCCCCUCCACGAGAUUCUUGGAAAAGUGCCCACGUGUCACCGUUGGGCUGUGACACUGUGGCCAGCUGGCUCUUCCUCUAGAUGUUCUGUGCGCAGCAGGGGAAGGCAGGAUGGCCCAGGGUGGGUGCGCUGCAGGCCUGGCCCCUCCCGGGGCCUCAGUUUCCCCAUCUGUCCAAUGGGAAGGAAAAGAGUCCCACGCUGUCGUCGGCAGGGUGGGGCCGAGGUGGCCGAGUCCUCAGCACACAGUUGACACUCAGUGAAGGGCUCCACCUGGGGAGGGAGGCCCGGCCGGCCCUGCACCCUUGGCGACCAGGAACCCUCAGGUGGGGCUGGCCUCGCCUGGCCAGGGCCACCCCUCCGCUGCCUCUGCCCCAGCAGGAGCCACCGGGCCACCUGGGGAGCUGCGGGCACAGGCUCCAGACACCAGCGGCCCCCACCUCGGCUCCUAUGAGCU
rnacentral:lncRNA from 1 species